rnacentral:lncRNA from 1 species
GCCAAAUAGUGCUGAAACCUUUUAGAAAUAUCCAAAUGCAAAUCCGGACAUACGCCCAAGUCCAAAAUCACCAUCUAGACCUAACGGAACAUUCAAAACUCAAAUCCGGGGUCAAAUACACAAAAGUCAAACUUGGUCAACUCUUCCAACUUUAAGCUUGCUAGUUGAGAAUCAUUCUUCCAAAUCAAUCCCGAAUCACCUGAAAACAAAAAUCGAUGAUUCACACAAGUCAUAUUACAUCAUAUGAAGCUACUCAAGACUUUAAAUAGCUGAACGGACUACAGAUGCUCAAAACGACCGACUGGGUCGUUACAAUAGUCAUCCAUCGCCUUCAAUCAAACGACCAAUAUCCCUCCCCCCCCCUUUUCCUUAUAUUCUUUUACCCUACCCUAAUACCCCAUUUCCUCUUAUUCAGUCACCUUUGAAUCCUCUCAUCCACAGAACCCUAAUCCUAGUCGCCUCCACCAAAAUUCGGCAACCCUUUCCUAAAUUACGACUAAUUAGUCGAUCAAUUAUCGAUACACUUCCCUUAUUUGUUCUUUAUCACUGUUACUCGUUCAAUUAUGGUAAUAUUUGGUACUGUUUUGUCUAUGGAAAGUAUGAUUAUCUUGAAUCAAUCCAAUAUGAAGGAAAAGAGAAUAUCUCCUCAUCCUAGCAUAUCUCCGUUGAUUUUUUCUCGAUUAGGGUUUGUGUGUGAUUUACCCUAAUCUGAUUUGGAAUCAGUUUGCAUGAGUUUUCUUUGAUUUUUUGGUUUGAGUGAUACUAUUCCUUUUAUGAUUAUGUGAAUUGAACACUUGAUAAACCUCUUUCCCAAUUCCCCUUUACACAGACUUUAGUAACUAUCUCUCUCACUCACACUAGUCUAUUUUAUUUUGGUUCUCUAAAGAACUACUGUUGUUCAAAUACUAUUCUUGGCUGGCUAAAAGUGAAGGCCAUCUUUGUAUUAUUCAACAACUUCCUCCGACAAAAGUACUGCUCGAAGCCCUUGAGGCUUCUGUGAAAUCUGAACUGCCGGAGACCCUGAGUUUCUCACUACUCUCCUUCACUCGUAAUUGAUACUGAACUACUGUUGAAACUUUGAUUUUCUUAUUCUUUUGCUCGUUUCUCUUUUGUGAUUGGUUAGUAUUAUUAAUUUUGCAGCUUAAUUCUUUAUUUUUUUAGUGCAAGCAUGUUGCAGACUAGCCUCCUUUACUUAUUCAUGCCUAUAUGCACUCUACAUGCCAAUGCUAUGUGGGAGCCUUUAAAAAAGAUGACUUAGGGUCUUGGUUCUAUGAAAUUUACGAAUUGCAGUAGUGUAUCAUGUUACAUGCUAUUCUAAUUUUGCUGUGACUUUAUUGAUAGUGUGGUAUUCUGGGAAUCCUUGUCUGAUACUGUGAGUUCAUUUAGGUUUACUCACCUCUAAUGUGAUCUCUGUCACAUGUACUAUACUCAUCUAUGUGUAUGUAAUGGACCGGUAUAACCCCUUUAUUCUUUUAGGAAUUAGGUGAACACAUGCUGUUUGAUUUGCUAAUUGCUAUACUUAUAAACCAUGUAACUAGGAUUGAUUUGCCUUAGAAUUUCAUUCUAAACCAUCCCCAUAGGAACUUCUAUUUGGUUGUGUUCUUAGGAUUAAGUCUGAACCAUGUAUACAUGAUGUUUUACCUUAAACUUUAAUGAUAAACAUUUCAUGUAAGAAUUCAUGUUUGGUUAUGUUCUUAGGACUAAGUCUUGAUCAUUAUUGUCAUGCCCCAACCUCAAGGAGCAUGGCCGACGCUCAACCGAGAUAACCCGGCCGAGCAAGCCUGCCAGAUUGCCUUCUACCCAACUCACCUAUAAAUAAAGAGAAGAUAAACUUCAUUAAUUAGCACCAAGAGAGUUCAUGAACAACACUAAUUCCAUCACCAUUAGUUACUUCAUUUAUAAAGUCUUAAGAUACAUACACUUUCAUAGUUUGAAGUGGAACAUGUAAUACACAUACGACAUUACUAGCUUGACUUUCCCAAUACCAAUGCACAACCCACACCAUAUCUACGGAGCCUCUAAUAGAUACAAAAGAGUUCAAUGAUAGUGCCGGCAACAAGGCUUCGGCUGUACCUCAAAACAUAAUACACACAGAACAAAAGAUACACGAUUCCAAAAUGAAGUGGGGCUCACUAAGUCAACUAGGAAGAGAGUGUACCGCUAUCAGUGGUCAAUGCAUUCCGCUGUGGAGCCACCUACAUCCAUUAAAGAUGUAGUGCCCUCAGAAAAAGGGACGAUAGAACAUGACGAAUAGUACUAGUAUGAAAACCAAACACCUAUGCAAGGACUUGGAAAUACAACAUGAAUAUGAUGAAUCAUGGUAACAAUAAAAGGCUUAGAUAGCCGUUAAAGCCAUAGAAAAUUUAUUAAGAGCCUUCAAUAACAUUUAUAAAUGUUUAAGUCGGGGAUCCUCUGCAACUACCUUUACACAAAGCGGCCCUGCCACCUCACCCCAAUGUAUGCGGGUGGAGGUGUAAUCACAAUACCACAACUCUACACAAAGCGGACCCGCCGCCUCUCCCCAAUGUAUGCGAGUGGAGAUGUAUUCACAAUACCAUAACUCUAUACAAAGCGGCCCCGCGGCCUCACCCCAAUGUGUGCGGGCGGAGAUGUAUUCACAAUGCCACACUUCGGAUUCCUAAAAUGAUAAUAGUUUAUACAAAAGAGUUCCCUUCCAAUCAACCAUUUGGCACCUUUGGCCUUAGCAAGUGUAAGUUCAUAAGAUUUCAUCAUAUGAGAAAUAGGUGUUUAAUCACAUUGAUUUCAUACAAUAUCUUCUUCCUAAAAAAGGGUAUAACAUAAUUAAGUCAAAAAUAGAGAAUCAUUAACCCACGAGGGUUCUAACAUGUUAUGCUAAUUGGGAAUCAAUUUUACUAGUUUGAAUACCCCACAUCAAUAGCGUUCCAUGUUCGAACUUCACACGAUGGAGUUUUGUAAGAACACGAGAAUUUCAAUAUCAGAAAAAGAGUUUAGCCUUCAUACAUCGAAAGAGCUUUUCGUAGUGCCACAAUAAUGUCCUAGCACUUCUAAUGAUGCCAAUCUAAAGAGGAGGAGAGAAUUAUGAGCACGAUUAGAGGAAUUUGCAUGGCAAGUGUUCUUACAACUAUGAUGAAAUUUGCAUGGCAAAGGUUCUUAUAUUUUGAAGCCCUAGCAAGUUCCUUUAGAUGAAAUUCCCAAGGUUUGAUCAGAGUAGAGUAGUGAAAUCCUUAAUCCUUCCUUUCAUCUCUCUAGAAUAGCCCUCCCCUCUCUCUAAAAUAUCAGGUAGUCUCCCAAAAAUGAACCCUUAGGCUAGAUAAAUAAAAUGGGGGUCGGGUUAUAAGAUUGGAAAAAUGGAGCCCCGACGCAGAUCUGCAGUCACAUAUGCGACCGCAUAACACUUCUGCGGUCCGCAAAAUGGACCGCAUAAUGGCCUUCCAGAACUGGGCAUUUCUGCUUUACUCUAUGACAGGUCUGCGGUCCGCAGACCAAUUCUGCGAUUGCAUAAUAGACCGUAUAACCUCCUUCCAAAAUUUCUCGUGCGGGAUCUGCGAUGGGAUUUGCGGCCCGUAUAAUGGUUUUGCGGCCACAUAAUGGGUCGCAUAAUGGUCCUCAAAUUUUGAAAAUCUCUCUGCUUCAUAGUGGACCGCAGAACUGCCAUGUUCUGCAAACUUUUUCCUUCAACUCCCCAAUGCACUGUUCGACCCAAAAAGUUCGUACCGUGGGUUUUAGAUAUAUUAUAGAGAAUAUGUCUUCGAGGUGUUUUAUGGAUUCCAAUAGAUGUAUAUUUCUCCUGAACAUAUAUGAUUCUAUGUACCCCUCAAGUAUUGUACUCAGGGUAUAUGCCUAUAGGUGUUUAAUGUGAUUGGUAAGUUGACUGAUUAUCAAGUUGUUCUUAUCUUUUCUAUGUUCUAUCAAAUCUCCUAAAAUGAUACUUAGGGAAUCUUGCUUCUUGGUUAGUUUGUAAACCUCAAAGAUUGAAUUUUUGAAUAUGUAUGUGUGUUUCUUGCCGGAAUUCUAAGUUGUGUGGAUAACUUGUUUGCACAGUCUCCCGCAUGCAAUUUCGAUCUUGUAGGGGUGUUAGUUAAGAGAAUUAGUCUGUUUGAGAAUUUGGGCAUGGCCUGUUGGACCUUAUUUCGGUACUGAGUUCGAAUGUGCUUUGUCCGCUUGACCUUAUGCACAUGGAGCUUGUGCCUGUUGGUUUGCAUGAAGUUCGAGACUGUUGAAGGCCCAGAUAUGUUACUAGGUUAUUUGUGUAUUUGUAUUAGGCUUGUAAUUAUUUAUUCUUGGUUUGUAAUAAUUUGUAAAAUUAAUAAUGGGGAAAAAUAAUUAAAUUGGGGCUUGGGGUAGUUUAGUUCUCGCAUAAUUGUGUAGAAGCAUGCCUACUUGUUAAUAGAUAUCAUGCUCAUAAGACCCUCAAUUUUGCAUGUAUCGCUUAGAAAUAACGAGCUUAGGAUCCUAAAUAAUAGUAACCAAACAUCGCCUAUGUGACUCGCACAGUUUAGAAAGCAUGCCUAUAGGACUUAUUCUGUGUUAAUUCAUUUGACUAUCUGUCACUACACUUAGAAAUCAUGUAUUAGAAUUUCACACUUAGCAUCAUGCCUAUAGGACUUUAUAUUAAAUAAUUCGAGUGUUUGUACUACCGGGUUUUGAGAACUAUGCUCCUAACUCUUUAUACCUAGAAGCCAUGUCUAUAGGAUUGUAAACAAUAACUCUUACUACUUAACCAUUGUACCAAUUAAAACAAUCGAAGACUUGAAUCACUUAGAGAUCCUGCCUAUGGGAUUUAACAAUGAAGUUUGCCUUUGCUAUGAUAUCCGCGUAGAAAUCAUGUCUAUAGCCUUAAUUAGUUCGUGCCCUGUCACUAUCAUAAUUGUUUGUCUGCACUUUCCAUCUAGAGAUCAUGUUUUAGGUCCAAAUCAAGUAAUUCGAUAAUACGGAUUAAUUCUUAAACUAUCCAGUCUAAAUCUUACAACUAGAAAGCAUGUUCAUAGGACAAUUAGCGUUUGAUUCUGCCACUUCUUUACAACCCGUCUAAUUAGUUUGACACUUAUGUGAGUCUAUUAGUGGAGGUAAACAUGAGCCCCUUUAUGCUAACUGUAUUUUUUUGAAGUCCUAUUUGUUUAAGUUAUUUGGCACCUAGUUUUCAAUUUUGAGCAACCUAGGAUGAGUCUAAAACCAUCCUUAUAGUUGUCUAAUACCUCCUGGAAUUGAAUUAGUGCACUUUAGGUAAAUAACUUAAAGAUAGAAAUCGGGUAGCUUGAGAUGAUAGUCGGUGCUUGCUGGAUAAUAUGAGCAACCAUUACCUUAAGGUUGCGAAUUAUUAUUUAUAUUGCACGGGGUGAUCCUUUAGGCUAAAACAUUUAGGACCCCCCAUUGUGUCUAAUUGUUCCUAUGUAUCUAGUCUUAAUGAUUUGUAUUAUUAGGAGAUUUUGAUUUGUUUAACUAAUUCUAAGGUUGAACAUUUUUGUAACCAAAAGGUUGUAUCGAUUAAUAUUAAUGAAUGAAGUAUGUUCUUUCAAACUGUUCUUUUUACAUUAUUUCCGUACUACUUCUUCAAAUUAGUUAAUUAUUAGUAUUUGGAUUAUAUUCGAUCACCCUGCAUCCACCUAGAAUAAUUAAUCACCUGUUGUGACCGUUUAUUCCCUUAGCUUAAUAAUAGAUUAAUUUGCAUGCUCAUUUAGGAUAAUUAAUUAAUAAUUUAAUAUUCCCACACAGUCUAAAAUUCGGUAGGAAAUCACAGUUGUGGACCCGAAGAGUGCCUAACACCUUCUUUUCUAAGUAAUUUGACCCUUACCCAAUCUUUUGUGACGUAUACUAAUUUAAACAUAGUUAUUUGCAAAUAGGUGCCCUAACGCACCUCAAAAAUUAUUAGGUGGCGACUCUCCUCUUUUAAUACCCACUUAAAAGAGUUCUCACGCGUCAAAACCCACUUUCGCGCGAAAAUGGGGCACGACAGCAUGACGACUCUGCUUGGGAUAUACUUAGGCUCUUACCAUGACAAUUUUUUUCUUGUGUGGAAUUAUCGAUUUGCUUUACUUGACUUCUUCUACGUGCCUCCCUUUUCCCGUCCCUUUGUUUGCUCGAAAUGGUUGCAUCGUGAAAUUCCCUUUCCUUUCUCCUUUAUCUGUUUACUAUUUAAUCGUAUUUUUUGAUUUUUAUGCUUAUUUAAGCCAUGCUAACUAUUUUCCUUUUUCCUUUCUUCACUUCCCUGACUUAUUUAUUUACUGCAUUAUCAAAUACUAUCUUUAUAUGUUUCUUCAUCAUAUACAUCACGUGGUUAUAUGUUACCCGUUUUUCAUAAGUAUGCUUUCAACAUCAUAUUCCACUUGUGCCUAUUAUCAAUAGAGUGACGCUUGAUGAGUGUCUGUGCUUUCCGAAAAUACCCUUUUAAAAUUGAAAAGGCUUAUUAGCAGUAGACUAGUUGAUCAGCGGUGCAGUCGACGAUCCCGUGCAUUUUUCUCUCAAGUUGUUCACUUGAGAGUACGGGUUAGACCCUUAGAAGCCUACUCUGAACUAAACUUUGCAUGCAUCAUGUUAAACUUAGGACGGAUUAAACACCAGUGGCAUAUUAAAUCCGUUUAGAUAAACCUUGUCCAAAGUUCAAAGGGAUCUCUACAAUCCCGAAUGAUACUCUCACCUAUGUGCAUUACUUGGAGAAUAUAUGCCAACAUGUUGACUAUCGCUUAAUUAAUUGUAACGACCCGACCGGUCAUUUUGAGAAUUUGCGCUUCGCUCGGUAGUUUGAGGGCACGAGUAUCUCCACAUCAUGUAUUAUGAGUUGUGUGAAUCAUUGAUUUUUGCUUUUCAGGCUAUUCGGAAUCGAUUUGGAAGAAUGAACUUCAUGAUUGAAGCUUUAGGUUGGAAAAGUUGACCAAGUUUGACUUUUUAGCAUUUGACCUCAGAUUGGAGUUUUGAUGGUUCCUUUAGGUCUGGAUGGUGACUUUUUAGCAUUUGCCUGGAUUUGCAUUUGGAUGUUUCUUGAAGAUUUUGGCGUUAAUUAGCAAAAGUUGGCAAUUUAGAGUUUUGGAAUGUUCAUAAGUUUGACCGAAAGUUGACUUUGAUAUUAUUGGGUUCGGAUUUUUAUUCCGGGAGUUGGAGUAGCUUCAUUAUGUCAUUUAAAACUUGUGUGAAAAAUUUGAGGUUAUUCCGAGUUGAUUUGAUAUGGUUCGGCACAUGAUUUGGAAGUUGAAAGUUCAAAAGUUUAUCAAGUUUGAUUCGAGGUGCGAUUCGUGGUUUUGAUGUUGUUAUGCAUGAUUUAAGGUCUCGAGUAGGUUCGUGUUAUGUUUUGGGACAUGUUUGUAUGUUAAGACGAGAUCCCGAGGGGCUCGGGUGAGUUUCGGACCCUUUUCCUCAUGUUUGGCAUAGCUGAUUCUCUGCUGGUUCUGGUGUUUCAGGCAUUCUUCGCGAUCACGGAGAAAUACAUGCGAUCGCAUAGAGUAUCAGGAGUUGUUGGUUGAUUCUUUAUCGCGUUCGCGGAAGGUUUAGGGGUUGGUACAUUGCGUUCGCAUGUGGAGUUUCACGAUCGCAGAGCAGUUGGGAGCUGGGGACUUCCUUCUUCGCGUUUGCAUGAUUGUGGAUGCGUUCGCGUAGUGUUGGGCCUGUGUUCAUCGCGUUCGCGAGGGUAGUGAUGCGAAUGCAAAGCGUAUAUUUUUGGCUGAGCUCAUUUUAUGCAUCGCGAUCGCGUAGAGGACCACUGGACAAAGCACAUAAGUACUCUUUUUCGGACCUUUGAGUUAUUUUAUCACAUUCUGAGUUGUGGAGCUCAGAUUUGGACGAUUGUGGAGGAGAUUUUCAUGCGGUAAGUGUAUUCUACUCGAUUUUGAUUAUAUUCUGUGAUUCUAUCUUCGUUUUUGGUAUUUGGAUUAUGAAUUUUAUAGAGAAAUUUGGGGGGUUUUGCCUAAAAUUUCUUAAAGUGACUUUUUGAGUUUUGAACAUUGAUUUGGAGUCGGAUUUGAGUGAAACCAGUAGGGUUGGAUUCGUAAUUGAAUGGGUUGUCAGAUUUUGUAAGUUUUGUUGGAUUCCAAGGUGCGGGCUCGAGUUUGACUUUUUAGUUGACUUUGGGAUUUUGAUCAAAGAUUCGACCUUUAUCAUUUGGAAUUGUUUCCUUAGAUAUUAUUUGAUGCCUUUGAGUUUCUUUUGGCUAGUUUCGAGCCGUUCGGAGGAUGAUUUGAGCGGGAUGGUGCUUCUAGGGUAUCGAUUUGGCUCGUUUGAAGUGUCUUGCCUAACUUUGUUGAAGGAAUUUUUUCUGCUAAUUGAUAUUAUUUUCUACAUGCGGGGGUGAUACAUAUAUGAGGUGACGAGCAUAUAUGCAUGCAUGCAUUACGUUAUGAUAUCAUUUCCCUGUGUAUACAUUCAUGUCAUUACCUUGAAUUGUUAUUGUUGCACCUAUGUUAUCUACGUGACUUGUCAUUGUUGUAAUGUCUUUGUCCUCUAUCUCGAUUGUUGUUGUGUUGUUCGUGCCUUCUAUAUGUUUAACUUGCAAAGAUCAUACCUUCUUUCCUGUUGUUAUAUCUACAUCCAUGUCGUAUCUACUUAGUUGCAUUUUAGUAUAAGCCUUCUACCAUGUUAGCCAUUCAUGCCUCUACUUGUUAGCUUAUAAAGAUCAUGCUUUCCCCCCUUAUUUGUUAUAUCUACAUCUAUGCCUUCUACCAUGCUAGUUAGGUGAAAUUAUGUUCUUCUUUCCUAAUUGAUGUCAUCAUUCAUAUGCCUCCUACCUAGUCUAUUACUGUUGUCCAUAUGUACUGCCUUGUUCAUCAUUGCUACUUGUGUAUUUCCUACCUUGUCAUUACUAUUAUCGACAUUUCUUUCACCUAGUUGGUACUAUUAUAUGUAUAUUUAGUUAGGAUGAGAUAAAUGCCACGAAGGGUGUUUCCGUGCCAUUUGAUUUUAUAUCUUGAGUAUAUUUCUCACUAUGAAAGCUAUGGAUUUAUUACCAUGAUUUGCUUGUUAUCGCUCUAAGGAAAGGAUCAGUCGUGAUAUUGAGGAAUAUUAAUCGUGGUUCUUCUAGAAAUCAUUUAUUGCUUCGCAUAUUUGUUUCCUUGUACUCUAUUCUAUUAUGUUCUAGUAUUGUUCUAUUGCUAGUCUUCUAUACAUGUUAUAUCAGUGAGUAUCUUUUAACUAAAAAAGCCUCGUCACUACUUCACCGAGGUUAGUCAAGAUACUUACUGAGUACAUGGGGUCGGUUGUACUCAUACUACACUUCUGCACCUUGCGUGCAGAUUUUGGAGUGGAGCUGCGGAUGAUGAUGGAAGUUGACUCUAAAGAUGUUCGUGGUCCCUGGGCAGUUCUAGAGUUAAAUUCUGUUUAAGUACAUUUCAAACAGAAGUUCAAUUUAUUUCAUAUCCAUUUUUACAAUAAUCUAGUCUUAGUAGCUCAUAUCUUAUACUACCAGUCCUUGGGAUAUUGUAUGGAAUCCAGUUAUAUCAUUUGUUGAUCACCUUUAUUUUUAUUAGAAUUGUGUUAACUGUUAAUUGGCUUACCUAGCGGGUCGAGUUAGGUGCCAUCACGACUAGUGGAUUUUGGGUCAUGACAAGCUGUUAUCAUAGCACUAGGUUCGUAGGUUCUACGAGUCAUGAGCAAGUAUCUAGUAGAGUCUUGCGGAUUGGUAUGAUGACGUCCAUACCUAUGUUCGAGAGGCUACAGGGCAUUUAGGAAAAUUUUCCUUUCUUCUUUCCUUAUCGUGCGGCCUUGUUUCAACUUGAAACCUACGAUUUUGAUUCUUUUCUAUUCGUUCAUAUGUGAUGUGGCGCACUCAUUAUUCGCUACGCACUGACGAUCUGUGAUGCUGCGGAUUGAUUACGAAGGGAUAUGGAUGCUUGAUUAUCAUCGCUAUGUGUUGUCUAGUCUCGGGAGCAGAUGCAGUGUUAAAUCUUAUAGUCGUUCAUUUGUGGUACGAUGCGGGUUCUUAUAUCUAGUUGGUAAGCAUAGACUUGGGAAGACUGGCUGGUUGUCUAGCUAUUGUGAUUAAGGCGGGUUCAUGGUAAGGUGUCAAAUUGAGUACAGCCGGUGGGCCAUCUCCAGCAUGAUGAGUUUGGAUCAUGUGUUUUGUAUGAGGUUUCCAUUCGGUGGAAUGCAUAUAUGAUCGUUUUAGAGCAUUUGGGGAAGUUUGCUUGACUAUUGCAAGGAUGGGUCAGAGCUUAGCAGAGUCUUUGGAGUGUUCUAUGACCAGUAUUGCAUGAGUUUAUUCAGCUAAAUAGCCGUGCGGAAUCGGGGCAGCUAUGAAGAUAUGUUACUUUAGAUUGCCGAUGAUGUGUUAUAUGGCUCCGGGCUAAGUGGGGGAGUCUUCUAAUGACGAUCGAAUUGUAGGAUCAUGCGUUGUAUCAGUUUCCGGGCUAAGGGAUUGCUUGGUUGUUUCUUUGAAUAGUCAUGAGCUGGUGAAGCGCGGGUUGCUCGAUGCGUAUUAGCUGUGUAUUGAAGAUUAGAGUAAGGUGAGUGGUUAUCGAGAAGGUUCUGAGGAGUUCCAGGUCUUGUGUAGCAUUUAAGGACUUUUGAAUUUAUGUACAGGUAGGGCUAAGAUCGGUAGUGAAUGGUAAUCGGAUCUACGGUAGUUAUAUGUCAAGAAUGAAUCUACAUGGCAAUAUUGGAGAGAUGCAAGAAACGACUUCAGAUUCGCAGAAGGUUCCUUUAGAGAGAGCAUAUCGGAUUGAGUUACUUUCAGAUUGGCAGUCUGUGUGACUCAGUUGAGUUAGAGGUGAUCGGCUCUGAUGACUUGAUUAUGUGUUAAUGAGUUCUGAAGAAAUCAUCAUGGUUAUGACCACUGCUGGAGUUGGUGUUUGCUAUAGGUAUAGAAGUUAUAUUGUGUGUGGUGAUGUUCACCUGGAUUGAGUUAAAUGAAAGGUUCGCGGUUGAUGAGAUGUUCAAUUUGCUCAUGGUUCAGAGUUGAUUAUAAAAUUUUUGCAGUGUCACGGUCUGCGUACACACUACCAUUCCCAGACCCCACGGUGUGGGAUAAUACUGGGUAUGUUGUUGUUUUUGUUAUUGUCAGGAGUUAACAUAUUAGAGGCGAUGCGCCGUGUGGGGUUGAAAAGUUGCAUGUACAAAGAUGCAGUUUAGUUUUGGAGGGAAGGAUAUGAGAUCUUGAUGACACGGACGAUUUCGGGUGUUUAAGAUUAUGCUGGCACUAUUUGAUAUCGCUGGAGGAGGGUGCGUAUGUUGGCAGGUGCAUUGUAUUUUAACUUGUGGGUAUUUUCUGUAAGAUAAUGGAGUAUGAGUUACAUAUUAGCCAUUUGAGUAGCGGUGUUGAGAUCAGAUAUGAAGAUUCUGGUAUUCGUGAGGUUCAGAGACUGGAUGUUCUCGUUGGCUGACCAAUCCUUGAUUGCAAAUUAUGAAGAAAUGUUGAGGAUUGAGUGAUUGAUGGUGUGUGUUAUGGAAAGGUUGCUAUGGACUUUUGGAAGGUUAUUUACCUAUUUGGGAAUGAUCAAAAUUUUGUUUGGGGCAUAUUUGUGAGCCUAAUGAGAAUGUGUAUUCUAUAUCAGAUCAUAUUUGCGUGCUCCUGCGCAGCUAUUACCAUAGGUAUAUCAUCGGGCGGAAUGGAUGUUAUUCGCGCCUUGGUCUAUGUUAUGUGUUUCUCUCUUAUGUUAUGACGGGUUGUGAGGGUUACAUGAUUCUUCACACACACAUUGUAAUUCCGUUUAGGCCUUAUGGAGUUAUGGGUGAGAUGGCUGUCAUGAUGUUGACUUGCUUAUUGCACCAUAGUUGUGCUUGUCUUUCUUAGUAUUGUUGUGCCUAAUCAUCUUCCCACAGUUAUAUUGGUGCAUUCUAUCAUGUUUGAUGUUGAUGCACAUAGGAUCAGUGAGCCCGAGUAUUAUGGCUCGAUGGGUACCCUAUGUGGAUUGAUAUGAUGGGAUCGGGUUGCGCGCCGCAAUGGUACUAUGAUGAAAUGUAACUCCUUAUGCUUAUUUUGUUUAUUUUGCUUUCACCUUGUUGAAAAUAGUUCAUAGGAAAAUGCUAAAAUUACCCUGACUACUUAACUGGCUUAACAGUCUUCUUAUUUAACUAUCCUACCAUUAUCUAUUAUGUCUGAAUUAUUACUUGUUGAGUGCACGGAACCGCGUUAUGUGGGGCUCCAUGUGGUUUUUGUUGAGACUUGUCGGUUGGGCUGCUCGUAUUGGCUGCGAUUUUCACUAUCGUAUUGGGAUAAGGAAUGUUUGGAAGAAUGAUACUAUUUUUCUACUAAGGAUUUGGGCAAUGGCCCUGGUCGGACAAGUGAGUUUCUUGGCUUAUUGAUCGGAUGAGUGGCUAAGAGAUUCUGUGUGUUUCUUUCAUCAUCGGCAGUGUACGAAGGUUUUGAGUGAGGUAUUAUUUGAUAUGAGGUUUACUUCCUGUACCAGAUUUGCUUUUGGGCAGCUAUGGUGGUCAGCAGUUAUUGUUAUGAGCAUUUGAAUGAUGUGGUAUAUCACGUGAUUAUAUCUUGGGUCAUGGUUAUGGCUUGGCACAACCUGUUCAGACUUAUAAAGUGUGUAUAUAUGAGAUUCGGGUCUUGUAAGGAAUUCCGGAUGUUGGAAAUUUGGGUUCUAAGGCUUGCACGCUAAGGUUGAAUUAAGGAUCUUCAGUUAUGUUGUAUCGUCAGGCUUAUAUGGAUUAGGGUGACAUGGGAUCACCCCCGAGUAUGUGCAUGGUAAGGUUACACAGCUGUUUGAUGGCUUUGGGAUGACUCUCGACACGUUCGAGGAUGAACGUAUGUUUAAGUGGUGAAGAAUGUAACGACCCGAUCGGUCGUUUUGAGCAUUUGCACUUCGCUUGGUAGUUUGAGGGCACGAGUAUCUCCGCAUGAUGUAUUAAGACUUGUGUGAAUCGUCGGUUUUGGUUUUCAGGUAUUCAGAAUUAAUUUCGAAGAAUGAACUUCAUGAUUGAAGCUUUAAGUUGGAAAAGUUGAUCAAGUUUAACUUUUUAGCAUUUGACCUUGGAUUGGAGUUUUGAUGGUUCCAUUAGGUCCGGAUAGUAAUUUUGGACUCUGGCGUAUGCUCGGAUUUGCAUUUGAAUGUUUCUUGAAGGUUUUGGCGUUAAUUGGCGACAAUUUGCAAUUUGGAGUUUUGGAAUGUUCAUAAGUUUGACCGAAAGUUGACUUUGAUGAUAUCGGAUUCGAACUUUAGUUCCGGGAGUUGAAGUAGCUUCGUUAUGUCAUUUGGAACUUGUGUGCAAAAUUUGAGGUUAUUUCGAGUUGAUUUGAUAUGGUUCGACAUGAGAUUUGGAAGUUGAAAGUUCAAAAGUUCAUCAAGCUCGAUUCGAGGUGCAAUUCGUAAUUUUGAUGUUGUUAUGCGUGAUUUGAGGUCCCGAGUAGGUUCAUGUUAUGUUUUGGUACAUGUUGGUAUGUUUGGAUAGGGUCCCGAGGGGCUCGGGUGAGUUUCAGGUUGGUUUCAGACCCUUUUCCUCAUAUUUGGCAUAGCUGAUUCUCUGCUGGUUCUGGUGUUUCAGGCAUUCUUCGCAAUCGCGUAGGAAUACAUCGCGUAGAGUAUUGGGAGCUGCUGGUUGAUUCUUCAUCGCGUUCAUGAGAGGAGAAACGCGUUCGUGGAAGGUUGAGAGGUAGGUACAUCGCAUUCCCAUGUGGAGUUUCGCGAUUACGGAGCAGCUGGGAGUUGGGGACUUCCUUCUUCGCGUUUGCAUGACUGUGGACGCGUUCGUGUAGUGUUGGGCCUGUGUUCAUCGCAUUCGCAUGGGUAGUGACGCGAACGCGAAUGCGAAGCAUAUUUCUUUGGCUGGGCUCAUUCUGUGCAUCGCGAUCACGUGGGUACAACCGCGAUCACGUAGAGGACCACAAGAUAGGGCACAUAAGUACUCUAUUUCGGACCUUUGAGUUAUUUUAGCACAUUUUGAGUUGUGGAGCUCGGAUUUGGACGAUUUUGGAGGAGAUUUUCAUCAUAUGGAUUGGGGUAAGUGUAUUCUACUCGAUUUUGAUUAUAUUGCAUGAUUCUAUCUUUAUUUUUGGUAAUUAGAUUAUGACUUUUAAAGAGAAAUUUGGGGGGGGGGGGGUUUGCCUAAAUUUCAUAAAGUGAAUUUUUGAGUUUUGAACAUCGAUUCAGAGUCGGAUUUGAGUGAAAUCUGUUGAGUUGAACUCGUAAUUGAAUGGGUUAUCAGAUUUUGAGAGUUUCGCCGGGUUCCGAGGUGCGGGCCCGAGUUUGACUUUUUAGUUGACUUCGGGAUUUUGAUCAAAGAUUCAACCUUUACCAUUUGGAAUUGUUUCCUUAAGUAUUAUUUGAUGCCUUUGAGUUGAUAUACAUAUGCUUGGUGAGGAAGAGUGUAAAGCACGAAUGGUGAUAUCGUGCCAUUGUAUAUAUAUAUAUAUAUAUUAUCAUGUGAGGGAGAGUCUAAAGCACGAAGGGUGAUGCCAUGCCAUUUCAUAUAUUUUAUCAUGUGAAGAAAAGUGUAAAGCACAAAGGGUCAUGCCGUGCCAUUUCAUUUGAGAGUAAAAGCACGAAGGGUGAUGCCGUACUAUUUCAUUUAUAUUAUCCUGAUCUCAUUUAUAUUAUCAUGUGAGGGAGAGUGUAAAGCACGAAGGGUGAUAUCGUUCAAUUUUAUUUAUAUUACCAUGCCUUUAUGUUAUGAUGAGUUCAUAGAACGAAGGGUGUUUCCGUGCAGGCAAGGACGAGGGACAUACAUUACGUUGUGAUAUCGUUUCCUUGUGUAUAUAUUCAUGUCGUUACCUGGAAUUGUUACUGUUGUGCAUAUGUUAUCUAAGUGACUUGUCGUUGUAGUUCUGUCUUUGUCCUCAAUCUCGAUUUGUUGUGUUGUGCGUGCCUUCUAUAUGUUUAACUUGCAAAGAUCAUACCUUCCUUCCUGCUGUUAUAUCUACAUCCAUCUUGUAUCUAGUUAGUUGCAUUUUAGUAUAAGCCUUCUACCAUGCUAGCCAUUCAUGCCUCUACUUGUUAGCUUAUAAAGAUCAUGCUUUCUCCCCUUAUUUGUUAUAUCUACAUCUAUGCCUUCUACCAUGCUAGUUAGGAGAAAUUAUGUUCUUCUUUCCUAAUUGAUGUCAUCAUUCCUAUGCCUCCUACCUAGUCUAUUACUGUUGUCUAUAUGUACUGCCUUGUUCAUCAUUGUUACUUGUGUAUUUCCUACCUUGUCAUUACUGUUAUCGACAUUUCUUUCACCUUGUUGGUACUGUUAUAUGUAUAUUUGGUUAGGAUGAGAUAACUGCCACGAAGGGUGUUGCCAUGCCAUUUGAUUUUAUGUCUUGAGUAUAUUUCUCACACUAUGAAAGUUAUGGAUUUAUUACUGUGAUUUGAUUGUUAUCUCUCUAAGGAAAGGAUUGGUCGUGAUAUUGAGGAAUAUUAAUCGUGGUUCUUCUAGAAAUCAUUUACUGCUUCGCAUAUUUGUUUCCUUGUACUCUAUUCAGUUAUGUUCUAGUAUUGUUCUAUUGCUAGUCUUCAGCAAAGGUUAUAUCAAUGAGUAUCUUUUAACUAAAAAGCCUCGUCACUACUUCACCGAGGUUAGUCAAGAUACUUACCGAGUACAUGGGAUCGGUUGUACUCAUACUACACUUCUGCACCUUGCGUGUAGAUUUUGGAGUGGAGUUGCGGAUGAUGACGGGUGAUAACUCUGAAGAUGUUCGUGCCUUCCGGAUGUGGCUACCACUUGUCCCUGGGCAGUUCUAGAGUUGAAAUCUGUUUAAGUACAUUUCAAAUAGAAGUUGAAUUUAUUUCAUAUCCAUUUUUGCAAUAAUCUAGUCUUAGUAGCUCAUGUCUUGUACUACCAUUCCUUGAGAUAUUGCAUGGAAUCGAGUUAUAUCAUUUGUUGAUCACCUUUAUUUUUAUUAGAAUUCUGUUAACUGUUAAUUGGCUGACCUAGCGGGUCGAGUGACAUUAAUCAAAUCAGGAAGGGGUAGGUCUAUCUCUGUCUUUAAUGCAAAAAAUGAAGCACAACAUUCCUAGGUUCGGUAUGGUCCAGAUCAUUCCAUCCAAGUUGAUCGAUUGGUGGAACCUCCUGUAACGACCCGGCCGGUCGUUUCGAGAGUUAUAAACCCGUUCUCCCAUUUCCUGCUUCUUUUUGUGUUCUUCAUCUAUAUUAUGAUAUAUCAGGUUAGUUGGUUCGAGUUCGGAGUGGUUUCGGAGUGAAUUGAGACACUUAGUCUCUUUAUUAGAAGCUUAAGUUGGAAAGGUCAACUGGAUGUUGACUUAUAUGUAAACGAUCUCAAAUUUGAAUUUUGAUGGCUCCGUUAGCUCUGUUAGGUGAUUGUGGACUUAGGAGCGCAUCCGGAAUAUGAUUUGGAGGUCUGUGGUAAAUUUAGGCUUGAAUUGGCGAAAAUUAGAAUUUUGGCGAUUUUGGCCGACAGUGGAAAUUUUGAUAUCGGGGUCAGAUUGGAAUCCUAGAAGUUGGAGUAGGUUCGUGGUGUCAUUUCUAACUUGUGUGCAAAAUUUGAGGUCAUCCGGACGUGAUUUAGUAGGUUUCGGCAUCGUUUGUGAAAUUCGGAAGUUUAGAAGUUCUUAGGCUUGAAUCCGGGCAUAAUUUGGUGUUUGGAUGUUGAUUUAAGUGAUCCGAAGGUUCCACUAAGUUUGUAUAAGGUUAUAGGAUAUGUUGGUAUGUUUGGUUGUGGUCUUGAGGGCCUCGGGGUGAUUCCGGGUGGUUAACGGAAGAAUUGGAGUUGAUGAAAUGCAGCUGAAGCUGCUGGUUCUGGUGUCUUCCGCACCUACGGGGUGGGAGCCGCAGGUGCGAGGCGGCAGGAUCGAUUGAGGAGUCGCAGAUGCGGCCAUGGAGGACCUGGGCGGGAACCGCAGGUGCGAAGGUAUUCCCGCACCUGCAUGAGUCGCAAAUACGGGCAGGCAGGCGCAUGUGCAAGUUUUGACCGCAGAAAGGAGAGAGUUUCCGCACCUGCGUAGGGCGCAGAUGCGGUCUUGAGGCCGCAGGAGCGAAGCCAGGAUUUUAAGUGAAAUCUGCACCUGUGAUGGAAUUUCCGUAGGUACGGCAUCACAGAAGUGAUCAAUGGACCGCAAGUGCGGUAUUGCUGGGCAGAAAAGCACCAGCUCGAGGUAUUGGCUUUCAUUUUUAAUUUUGGACUUGAGAAACUCGGGAGAGAGGCGAUAUUUCGAAGGUUUUCAAGGAACAACGUUGGGGUAAGUGAUUCUAACACAUAAUGGUAUAAAUUUCAUGAAUCUAUGGCUUUGUUCAUCAUUUAAUUAGGGAUUGGAAUUGGAAAUUUGGGGAUUUAGGGCUUGGGAAUUGGAGAGUGAACUUUGGGGUUUUGGAGGGGCAACUGAGGUCGGAUUUCAGUAAAUUUGGAAUGACGAGACUCGUGAGUGAAUGGGCUUUCAGGUUUUGUGAUUUUUGUUGGAUUCCGAGACGUGGGCUCGGGGAGCCGGGUUUGAGUCGAUUUUGGAUUUUGGCUAUAAUUUGGUAAUUUUCUUGUGGAAUUGAUUCCUCUAGUCUAUAUUAAUUAUAUUGUACUGCUUGUGGCUAGAUUAGGGAUAUUUGGAGGCUGAUUCGAGGGGCAAAGGCAUUUCAGAGUAGGAUUUGCUCGGUUUGAGGUAAGUAACGCUUUCAAACUUGGUUCUGAGGGUUCGAAACCCCGAACUGUGUGCUAUACGAUUGGUAUUGAGGUGACGCACAUGCCAAGUGAUGGGCGUGCGAGCGUGCAUCAUGAAAAAUAUGGCCUGGUUGAUUCCAUGGCACUGUAUAGUGACUCUAUUUUGUUGAUAUCAGUGUUUUCAUCUUGUCAUAAAGUAAUUGAGCUGUCAAGCAUGCUAGAUAUCAUAUUUAGCCUUUAUGCCGGUACUGUUGGGACCCCAAUGGUCGUUUCUUGAUGUCAACUUAAUGAUUUCAUUGAUAUUAUGCACUCAGUCAUGUUCAUGCAUUUCAUUUUAUAUCUCUGUCUCAGUUGUUGUUUAUUGAUAUAUCAUAUCAUUGUUUCAGGCUAGUUUUCAUGAUAUUGUGAGCCCGUGAGUGAGAUUGGAGAGAUUGAUGACUUAGUGAGGCUGAGAGCCUGAUUAUGAGUGACAGUUAUGGGAUCAGGCUACACGGCGCAGCGGUUAUACUGGUUUUGUGAUAGCGCUUAGGCUGUAGGAGCCCCUCCGGAAUCUGUACACACCCCCAGUGAGCGCGGUUGAUAUUAUUGAGGGAUGAAUCUUCCCUAGACAUGAAUCUUGUUUGGAGAUGGAUCUUCUCCAUAGGGCUGGAUUGGCCUUCUUCGGUACUGGGUGACUUAUAGUCAGUGAUGUAUAUGUUCUGGGAUGGAUCUUCCCUGGGCCGUAUGGGCCAUAUACAGUACCGAGUGGUUGAGCAUUCGAGAGUGUGAGCACAUGAGGGUGAUAGCAUGGUGCAUCACAUAGAGCAUGUGCAUUGGCAUAUAGAGAUAGCAGAGUUAUAUUCUUUACACUGUUCGGAUCUGCUUCACUUUACUGUUUGAGUUGCCUAUUUAAUUUGAAAGCAUGCCUACAUUUCUGUUCAGUUAUUUCUAUUUUAUCUAUACCGGUUGAGUUUGUCACUACCUUUCAGUUCAAAGUUUGGACUUUUUACUUACUGAGUUGGACGUACUCACGUUACACCCUGUACCUCGUGUGCAGAUCCAUGCGUUUUUGGUCACGACGACGAUUGCUAAUUGUAGCUUCAGAGUUUGGAGACUACCAAGGUAGUUGUACGGCGUUCGCAGGCCUUGACUCUUCUCCUCUAUCACCAAUUGUAUUUUCAGUUUAUUUUUCUAGGCACUGUAGUGGACUGUAUUCUAAUUUAGACGCUCAUGUACUCUGUGACACCCUGGUUUAGGGAUGGAUUGUAUCUUAUUUUGGAUAUUUCUGUUUUGAAAAAGGCUUUCCUAAAUUAUUAAAUUGCUUCUGUCUUUAUGUUCAAAGAUUUUUCUGUGUUGGGAUGUUGCGUUGUGGUUUUCCAAGUUCCACGAUAGGCGCCAUCACGACGGGGUAGGAUUUGGGUCGUGACAAGUUGGUAUUAGAGCCUAGGUUACAUAGGUGUCACGAGUCCUUUGCGGGUUUAGUAGAGUCUUACGGAUCGGUACGGAGACGUCUGUACUUAUCUUCGAGAGGUUGAGAACCCUUAGGAAAACUCCACAUUCUUGAAUUCUUGUCGUGUGAAUCUGUUGAUUCUAGUAACUAAACAUCUGUUGUUUCAUUCUAUCACAAAUGGUGAGGACUCGUACUACCGUGCAGGAUGGACAGCCACCAGUACCACCAGCCAGGGCCGCGAGAGGCCGAGGGCGCGGUAGAGGCUGCGGUAGGGGAAGAAGUGCAGCCUGCACAGCAGCUGGGGCAGUACUUGCAGAUCCACCAGUUGCCCCAGAUCAGGACCAGAUUCCAGUUGCUGAUGCACCAGCUCAGGCACCACCUAUUCCUAUUGCGAUUCCAGCCCAUCAGGAGGUCUUAACUCAGAUUCUUACCGUGUAUACCAGUCUUACUCAGGCGGUCUCUGGUCCGGCCGCAGCAACCACUUCUCAGGCCGGGGGAGGUACUCAGACACCUGCUUCCCGCACACCAGAGCAGGUGGUACAUGGAUUCCAUACACCGAGGCACCACAAGCCCAGCCGGUUGCAGCUGCUCAGGACUAUGUGGUUCCUUCUAUGCCCGAGGAUGAGCAGUGUAGAUUGGAGAGAUUUGGGAGGCUCUGGCCUCCAUCUUUUAGUGGUGUAGAGGGAGAGGAUGCACGGGGCUUCUUGGACAGGUGUCAGAGGAUAAUCCGUACAGUAGGUAUUCUGGAGACCAGUGGUGUCUCGUUCACUACCUUUCAGUUCUAUGGGGCUACAUUCAGUUGGUGGGAAGCUUACGAGAGGCGUAGGCCGGUAGGCGCAAUGCCUCUUACCUGGCAGCAGCUCUCCGUUAUCUUUUUGGAGAAGUUCGUGCCUCAGUCCCGCAGAGAGGAGCUACACAGAUAGUUUAAGCAGCCUCGUCAGGGUGAUAUGUCUGUGACGCAGUAUGAGAUACGAUUCUCGGAGUUGGCCCAUCAUGAUAUCUGGUUGGUUCCCACAGACAGGGAAAGGAUCAGGAAGUUUAUAGAUGGCCUCACUUAUCAGCUGCGAUUGCCUAUGACCAGAGAGAGAGUAUCUAGUGCUACUUUUGAUGAGGUUGUCGACACUGCUCAUCAAAUUGAGAUGGUUCACAAUCAGGAGAGGGUUAAAAAGAAGGCCAAGAGGCCUCGUGGGCAAGGAGGAUUUAGUGGUGCUCCUUAUGGGGGUCAGUUAUAGCACAGUAGAGGUCGUCCCUUCAGGGAUGCUCAGACGGCUCGCCUAGUGCACCGAGGUGCAUCAUUCGGUCAUGGGCCCCAUGGUUAUCAGUAGGGCCAGAUAUCAUUCGGUGCGCUACCAGCUCAUAGUUCGUCACAUGCACCAUCAGCUCAGGGUUCAUCUAUGUCAGGACCUUCUAGCGGUUAUUCCAGUGCUCGGGGUUCCCUUCAGUCCCCACCGCCAUUUACAGAGAGAGGUUGCUUUGAGUGCAGAGAUUUGGGUCAUAUCAAGAGGCAUUGUCCCCGCCUUUCGGGAGGUUCAUCUCAGCAGAGAAGUCAGCCUUCGACUUCGGCACCAGUUAUUUCACCACCCGCCCAGCCAGAUCGGGGUGGAGCUCAGACAGCUAGGGGUCGCCCUAGAGGGGGAGGCCGAUCAGGUGGAGGUCAGGCCCGUUUCUAUGCACUCCCUGCCAAACUAGAUGCUAUUGCUUCGGAUGUUGUGAUUGCAGGUAUUGUCUUAAUUUGCCAUAGAGAUGCCUUGUAUUAUUUGACCUUGGUCCCACUUAUUCAUAUGUGUCCUUGCAUUUUGCUCAUUAUCUGGAUAUGCCCCGUGAGUCUCUAGUUUCACCUGUUCAUAUGUCUACGCUGGUGGGCGAUACUACUAUUGUGGACCGUGUAUAUCGGUCAUGUGUGGUGACUAUUGGGAGUCUGGAGACUAGAGUAGAUCUAUUAUUGCUUAAUAUGGUCAAUUUAGAUGUUAUCUUGGGUAUGGUGAGUUAUCAGAUAUUUUGUGAUAUGGCUUUGAGCCAUGUAGGGGAGUCUGCUAUCUAUGAUUUGAUUGCACGAUUUUGUACGGUAUUAGUUUUGGGCUGAGGCAUACUUGUUGAUUGGUUAUAACUUGCAGAGGUUGAUAUCGGGGAUGACUGGAGUAAGACAAUUUCUUGAAUGCAGGUUAUAUCGCACUUUAUGAAAAAAAAUCAUCAUGAAAUGGUUAAAUUGUUAUUUUGAAGGAUGUAGUACGCACGCGGUGUGAAUUGAUAGGUGGCGUUAAGGCAGGGUUACCCCUUCGAGCGUUCCUGUGCUAAUGAGGCACGUGUCUUUCAGCCCGUUUGGGCGGUGCAAUUUAGAAUCUGAAAUUUACAUUUAAUGGUGCCGAGAUUUGCAGUAAUUCUGUAUGAUUAUGGAUUCUAUAUUUUAGUAUAAGAAAGGUAAGAAGAAUAAUUUUAAAUUCGCAUAAGGUAUUCUCAGAGUGAGCGUUACAGUUGAGGUGUUUAUGGAGGUACUUAAGAAGAGUACAAUGGCUUACGGGCCUUAUGGUGGUGUGGUGUUAUGUUAGGGGGUCUUGUAGUGAGAUUUGGGUAAGGAUCGUGGAGUUCUGACAAUGAGAAGUAUCAAAUUGAGGAUACUUUAGAAUAAACUCGAAGUAAAUAUGACAACUGGAUAGUAGGCUAGACCAGUAUAGUGAUGACAUGAUAGAUGUGGUGUGUUAUGCAGGAUUAAGAUUUACAUGUACAAGGAGACAGUUCAUUCUUGAAGGCAAGUUCACGAAUUCUGGACAUAAUGGUUAGUGUUGUAUAUUUAGAUGAAUGUUAUAGUUGCUCGGUAAUCCCUGAGAGGGGUGCGCGGUUGAAAGGGGCAUUGUGUUUUGAUUUACGGAUGUUCAUUGGUAUUGCGAUACUUUUCUGGUUGAUCGACUGCUGAUAUUCACUUUUGCUAUGUGGCACGGGAGAAUUUUAGGAGUAUUCCUCGUGGAUGAUCGUGUAAAAGAGAUGUGUUAGACAUUCUGGCGGUGGAGUUGGAAUCAGAUAUGGGAUUCGUGUGUUAUAUAGAUUUGGAGACUCGAAGUUCACAAGAGCAGGUUGUUUCCAUGGUUGUGGAUUGUAAAGUCAUGGCCGAAGCUAGCUAGAUGAUAGUAUGUGUUAUGAUUCAGUCAUUGUGGGCUUUCAGAGGGUUAUUGAUCCAUGUGGGGGUGCCCGGAAUUGAUUUGGGGGUCCAUGGGUAGGCCCAAUUAGGAUGUGUAUUCUACACCGAGUCGAAUUGGUUGACUCCAUACUGCUAUUAUUGAGGGAUGUGUCAUUCGGUUGUUGAUGAGCUUAUUCGUGUUUCGAUAUGUUCGGUGAGUUACUCUUCUAUGCUACAAGGGGUUGUGAUUCGUUAGUUGUAUGCACCUAUGGUGCAGUUCUAUUGGGGCCUUAUAGCGAAAAUUUGCGCGAGAUGGGUAUUUGGGCGAUGCAUGAGUGGUUGCGCAUUGGUUAUGUUCUUUUGGGUUUGUGUGGCAUUGUGUCAUUUGCUUCUCUAUGGUUAUGGUAAUGCACUUUGAGUACUUGAUGCCUGAUUGCGCGUGGUUAUUGAUUUUGAGCAUGGUGGCUGAGGUAUUUCAUGUGGAUCCGUGUUUGGAUGGGGUCGCGUAUUGCGGCAGAGUUAUUUUAAGAUAUGAUCCUUGUGUUAGAUUCGUGUGUUAUGGUUCUACGGUGUGUGAUGGGUUCUUAACAUUGCGUUGGGGUGGUACCCAUCGGGCUUAUGGGACGAUUCUCUUGUUUGAGCCAUUUUUGUGAUUGAGCACAUUUGGAAGGUUGCUUAUUGGUGCGCGGAUUGCACGAGUUGUGGAUUUAGAUAGUAUUGGUGUGUCAUGUCAGUAGAGUAGCUGGUAUUUGAUAAGAUGAAGUCGUCGGAUCUAGGAUGGGUGCUAUCAGAUUUGGUUGUGGCAUAUUUGGAAGGAUAAUAUCGAAAGUCAGCUUAGGAAUUUGCUAUGGUUCUUGUCGAAGGAGAGAGAGCUCCACGACUGGUAGGUCUGGUGAAUAGUUACGAGUCUCUACGUGUUUCUUUAAUCAUCGGUGGUGUACAAAGGUUUUAGAAUGGAGUCUUAUUUGAUAUGAGGUUUAUUACCGGCAUGGGGUUGUUUCGAGUAGCUACGGUGAUUAGAAAUCAUUGCUUCGAGCAUUUGAGCAAUGUCGUAUUUGAAGUUUGAGAAUUUGAGUUAUGGUUAUGGCUUUUGGUAUAGCUUGUUCACACUUAUACAGUGUGCAGGUGGCGGGAUUCUGAUCUUAUGAGAAAUUCUGGAUGUUGGAAAUUGGAUUCUAAGGCUUGUGGGCUAGGUAAAAUUAAGAAAUUUCAGUUAUGUGUUGUUAUCAGACCUAUAUGGGAUAGGGUGAUGUUGGAUCAACCCCGGGUACGUGCGUGGUAAGAUGGAAUAGUGAUUUGGUGACUUGGAAACAACUCUUGGCACGUUCGAGGACGAACGUAUAUUUAAGUGGGGGAUGAUGUAACGACCCGACCGGUCGUUGCGAGAGUUAUAGCCUCGUUCCCCCAUUUCCUGCUUCUUUUUGUGUUCAUCAGCUAUAUUAUGAUAUACCGAGUUAGUUGGUUCGAGUCCGGAGUGGUUUCAGAGUGAUUGAGACACUUAGUCUCUUUAUUAGAAGCUUAAAUUGGAAAAGUCAACCAGAUGUUGACUUAUGUGUAAACGAUCUUGGAUUUGAAUUUUGAUGGUUCCGUUAGCUUUGUUAGGUGAUUGUGGACUUAGGAGCGCGUCCGGAAUGUGAUUUGGAGGUCCGUGGUAGAAUUAGACUUGAAUUGGCGAAAAUUAGAAUUUUGACGAUUUUGGCCGGCAGUGCAAAUUUUGAUACCGGGGUCGGAUUAGAUUUCUGGAAGUUGGAGUAGGUUCGUGGUGUCAUUUCUAACUUGUGUGCAAAAUUUGAGAUCAUCCGGACGUGGUUUGGUAAGUUUCGGCAUUGUUUGUGGAAUUCAGAAGUUUAGAAGUUCUUAGGCUUGAAUUCGGGCAUAAUUUGGUGUUUUGAUGUUGAUUUGAAUGAUCUGAAGGUUCGACUGAGUUUGUAUAAGGUUAUAGGAUAUGUUGGUAUGUUUAGUUUUGGUCCCGAGGGCCUCGGGGUGAUUCCGGGUGGUUAACGGAAGAAUUGGAGUUGAUGAAAUACAUCUGAAGCUGUUGGUUCUGGUGUCUUCCGCACCUGCGGGGUGGGAACCACAUAAGCGAUUGAUAAGCUGCAGAUGCAUCCAUGGAGAACCUGGGCUGGAACCGCAAGUGCGAAGGUAUUCCUACACCUGCGUGAGUCUCAGAUGCGGGCAGGAAGGCGCAGGUGCGAGUUUUGACCGUAGAAGCGAGAGGGUUUCCGCACCUGCGUAGGGCGCAGAUGCGGUCUUAAGGCCACAGGAGCGAAGUUAGGAUUUUAAGUGAAAUCCGCACCUGCGAUGGAAUUUCUGCAGGUUUAGCGUCGCAGAAGCGAUCAAUGGAAUGCAGGUGCGGUAUUGCUGGGUAGAAAAAGCACCAUCUCGAGGUUUUGUCUUUCAUAUUCAAUUUUGGACUUGAGAAACUCGGGAGAGAGGCGAUGUUUCGAAGGUUUUCAAGGAUAAAUGUUGGGGUAAGUGAUUCUAACCCAUAAUGGUAUAAAUUUCGUGAAUCUAUGGCUUUGUUCAUCAUUUAAUUAUGGAUUAGAAUUGGAAAUUUGGUGAUUUAGGGCUUGGGAAUUGGAGAGUGAACUUUGGGGUUUUGGAGGGGCAACUGAGGUCAGAUUUCGGUAAAUUUGGUAUGACUAGACUCGGGAGUGAAUGGGCUUUCGGGUUUGAGUUAAUUUCGGAUUUUGGCUAUAAUUUGAUAUUUUUCUUGUGGAAUUGAUUUGUUUAGCCUAUAUUAAUUAUACCGUACUGCUUUGGCUUGAUUCGGGGCAUUUGGAGACUGAUUUGAGGGGCAAAGGCAUUUCAGAGUAGGAUUUGCUCGGUUUGAGGUAAGUAACGCUUUCAAACUUGGUUCUUAGUGUUCGAAACCCAGAACUAUGUGCUAUACGAUUGGUAUUGAGGUGUGCACAUGCCAAGUGACAGGCGUGAGAGCGUGCACCGUGAAAAAUGUGGCCUGGUUGAUUCCAUGGCACUGUAUAGUGACUCUAUUUUGUUGAUAUCCAUGUUUUCAUCUUGUGAUAAAGUAAUUGAGCUGUCAAUUAUGCUAGAUAUCAUGUUUAGGCUUUAUGCCGGUACUGUUGGGACCCUUAGUGGUAGAUUCUUGCUGUCAUCUCACUGAUUUCAUUGAUAUUAUGUACUCAGUCAUGUUCAUGCAUUUCAUAUCAUAUCUCUAUCUCAAUUGUUGUUUAAUGAUACAUCAUAUCAUUGUUUCGGGAUAGUUUUCUUUAUAUUGUGAGCCCGUGAAUGAGACUGGAGAGAUUGAUGACUGAGUGAGGCUGAGAGCCUGAUUAUGAGUGACAGUUAUGGGAUCGGGCUGCACGCCGCAGCGGUUAUACUGGUUUUGUGAUAGCGCUUGGGCUGUAGGAGCCCCUCCGGAGUCUGUACACACCCCCAGUGAGCGUGGUUGAUAUUAUUGAGGGAUGGAUCUUCCAUAGACAUGGCUCUUGUCCGAAGUACUUGAUACCUGGAGAUGGAUCUUCACCACAGGGCUGGAUUGGCCUUCCUCGGUACUGGGUGAUUUAUAGUCAGUGAUAUAUAUGUUCUGGGAUGGAUCUUCCCUGGGCCGUAUGGGCCAUAUACAGUACCGAGUGGUUGAGCAUUCGAGAGUGUGAGCAUAUGAGGCUGACAGCAUGGUGCAUCACAUACAGCAUGUGCAUUGGCAUGUAGAGAUAGCAGAGUUAUAUUCUUUACACUGUUCGGAUCUACUUCACUUUACUAUUUGAGUUGCCUAUUUAAUUUGAAAGCAUGCCUACGUUUCUAUUCAGUUAUUUCUAUUUUAUCUAUACUGGUUGAGUUCGUCACUACCUUUCAGUCCAAAGUUUGGACUUGUUACUUACUGAGUUGGACGUACUCACGUUACUCUCUGCACCUCGUGUGCAGAUCCAUGCAUUUUUGGUCACGGCGGCGGUUGCUGAUUGUGGUUUCAGAGUUCGGAGACUACCAAGGUAGUUGUACGGCAUUCGUAGGCCUUGACUCUUCUCCUCUAUUACCCGUUGUAUUUUCAGUUUAUUUUUCUAAACACUGUAGUGGGCUAUAUUCUAAUUUAGAUGCUCUUGUACUAUGUGACACCCUGGUUUUGGGAUGGAUUGUAUCGUAUUUUGGAUAUUUCUGUUUUCAAAAAGGCUAUCCUAAAUUAUUAAAUUGCUUCUGUCUUUAUGUUCAAAGAUUUUUCUGUGUUGGGAUGUUGAGUUGUAGCUUGCCUAGUUCCACGAUAGGCGUCAUCACUACGGGAUAGGUUUUGGGUUGUGACACCUCCCUCGGUGUGAUAGGAAUCAUGCGAGAAGGAUAUUGGGCAACUUGCCAUCCUUAAUAGAUGUUCGGCCAUACAGGGAACUGAUCGAGGCUGCUACUAUGUUUUGGGAUGAGAAAAGGCCGUCUUUCAAUUUGGAAACUUAGAGAUGACCCCACUAUUGGAGGAAAUUGCAGAUUUUGCUAAACUACCCUGGGUUAGUCCGGGUUUGCUGGUGCCGGAAUGUCAUGCCCCAAACCUGGGGAGGCAUAGCCGGCACUCGGUGCCAUACUCGGCCCGAGGGUACCACUCUUUAACUGUGAACUCUGGAGGGGUAACCCUCAACUUAGCCCGAUGAGGCCAACCUGCAAGCUGACAAUACCAAUCAAGGCCGACAAGGCCACCAUGAAUGUCUACAACCAGUAAUACCAAACUGACAUGUACACAGGGCUGACAAGGCCACAAUACCGAUAUACAAAAUAUACAGGACUCGUCUAUAAAACUCUAGAGAUAACUAAAUUGUAUCAUGGUCGGACAUAGCCUCGACCUACCCAUCAAACCUGUAUAUAUAAAAUGGACUCCAAGGUCUAGACCUGGUACCUACGAAAAAGUGGAGCUUACCAACCAAGCUCAUGUUUGAUUCUGUCUAUUGGAAAGGACUAUCCAACUGUCUAUCAGGACCUGCAUGUAUGAAAUGCAGUGUCCCAGGCAAAGGGACAUCAGUACAAAAUAAUGUACCGAGCAUGUAGACAAUAGAAUAACUGAAAGUUGAGACUGAACUGAUAAAAUAAUAACUCAAAGUAACUGAGAGUCAAAGAUGAUCUGAAGAUAUGCUUACCUGUUGAUACUGACUCAACUCUCUCAAUAUAGUAAGUAAAAUAGUUGUCCGGCCCUAUAAGGCAUGGUACGUGUAACUGCUCUACCAUAGUAGCCUCACUCAUAGGCGCUCAGCCAUACUAGGUUCGGUAUCUCGGCCAUCCUAGGCUCGCUAAUAGGCGCUCGAACAUAGUAGGCUCAGUAUAUACCUUACAGUCUGAUCAGAGGUUGCCUAAUAGGGGCCUACCCACCGAUUAUAACUCGAUGGAGGUGAAAAUACUGUAAUACUUUCCAAUAGGGGCCUGCCCACAGAUUAUAGCUCGAUGGUGGUGAAAAUGCUAUAAUGAUUGAUAUAUAUAUAUAUAUAUAUAUAUACAUCCUCUGCUCUCUUGACUGGAAGAAGGCAAUACUUAACUGAAUAUAAAGUCCCGACAAGAUAGAAUACGAUAACUUAUGAGACUAGGAUAAUGAACAUAAAUUCAGGAAUACGACCUUCUCAUUAUGUCUCAUUAUCAAAUGCAUGUAUUUACGGGAUCAUGCCAAAAUGAAGAAAAGGUUUAGCCUUAACAUACUUUAUCACAAUCUGUUCAAUAACAAUGUUGAACUCGUCUCGUCACACUUCAAUCUACAACAAUGAUAAUAAUGCUAUCGUUAAGCUCUGAAAGAUGCAACUAUCGUAUAACGACUGACAAGCUUAUUUUAUAUUAAAACGGGUAGCAUUUCCCAUAUUUUCCUUGCUUUCCCAAGUCCAUAAACCAACAGGAACACAUACAACCUUAACCUAUAUACUUUCAGCACCACAACACAAAUCAAGCUACACAACAACAAGUGCAUAACAAUAGCAACAUGUAUACAUCAUUUUCCAACCAUACAUCCAUCACAAAAUACCAUAAAAUAGCACACACACACCAUAAUCACUUCAUACACAAAACGACAACCAUAGUAGUGUCAAACAACCCAAAAAUAUAAUGACGAAUGACUAGCCCACCACCCUGCCCUUAUGUGGUGUUUCUCCAUACCCUUUCUCCUCAAAAAAUCCAUAAAACAGUAGCAAAACCGAAAACCCAACAAUCAACACAAAAUAGCCCAAAAAAUAGUCCACUACAAGUUGAAUAACUCAAACUCACGACUUCCGAUCACCGUCCGGUGAGUUCUUACAAUUAUAGAACAUUUUUUUCUACUUUUCCAGCUGAGAAAAUAUAUGAAAGAGAGAACUAUACUUACCGUAUUUGGUGAAUAUCUCAGCUCCUAUAUUGAUUCUUCAACCCUUAGGUUUUCCUCCAACUAGAACUUGAAAAGAAGAGAAAAUCAUUUAGGGUUUUGUAUUGAAUUUUUGGGAGACGUUUGCAGGGGUGUAUCUCUGAUUUUAUUGCUCUAUAAUGAGUGUAAUAUAUGAAGGAAAUCAGCCCUUAAAAGUACUCUUUUUCCGACCCCAACUAGCCCUUUUUUGGACAAAUUUGGUCAUUUCAUUUAAGCAAGUAGGUGACACACCUACUUGUCGCCUAUGCAGUCUGCACAGUCUCGUAUAAAUAGAAAUAUCUCUCUACUCCGAUGUCGUAUUGACAACGGUUGAAUGCAUUGGAAACUAGACUUAUAGAUCUUCAAAUUUGUGGGUGGAUCAUUCAGUAAUUCCAAUUACAUUGGGAGAAAAGAUCAGCUACAUUUGACCAAAUUUUCAGCACAUUAAUGAAUGUAACUUGUGAUGACCUUUGCCAAAUUUUGUUCCACAACUCGCUUGGCUCCAAAACAUAACACACGACUAUCAUACGACUAAAAUAAAACAUAACAUAAGAUAUUUAUCAUGUUGAGCACCCUAGUCUCACCCCAAAAGUACAUGUUAUAACAUUCCCAACUUGUCAUCUUUCGACGAAACUUGUUUUCUUCAAUCUAUUUAGCUUCUAAGACUUCCAACCCUCUUGGUACUUGUUAUUCAUGAUCUUAAAUAUUUGUAACCUCUAAGGUAACAUGAUUAACUUGCUUUAUGUACUUUUAAAUAUGAUCUCAUUUCUGAGCUUAUAUCAAUUGACUUAUGAUGUUCUCUCACCUACGAAAACAUGGGGUGUAACAUCAAUGCCCCCUUUGGAACAUUCGUCCUCGAAUGUUGCCGAUGCUCUUAUCAGUAUUAUAACCUAUAGCUCUUACAAAUACUUUAAUACUUCCCUUGACAUCUAGGCAAUUGUUUUAUGAAUAAAUCCAAAGGUAGGGGCAUUCCUCCCUUUAGGCCUCUUUCUCACACCAUGACCUUUGUCGUAAUUCUUCCAAUCUUGUAACUAUUGCUACCUUCUGUCAUGCAGCCUGAAUGACUCUGUCCUUGUAUGUGCGCCUAUGCGACUCUUUUCUCCUUUUUACUCUAGCUUUUAGCCAAUUUCUAGGCCUCACUUUGUAAACAUAUACAAAACUAUGACAAGUUGUCCCUUUGGGCAUUUAUAGGUGUAUUAAAGUUCUUUGCUCAGUACUUUGUCAAACUUACGACUAUUGCUAUAUCUUCUUGUUUCAUAGCCUCGGUUAUCUAUGCUUAUGGAUUUACUACAUCUAGGUAGGUCAUACUAUACCAUAACUCUUACUUCAGUUUUAAUAUUACCGGGGUCUGCUACCCAACUCAAGGUUACUCUCUCGCUGCUUAUCUUAUAUGUAUAAAUCUAAGCCCUUUAAUGCUUUUUCAUUACUGUUCAUCUUAAGAAUGACAGCCUAAUCUCAUCUCAUACUUUGUAACUUUUAUCCAUCUAUUAUUGAUUUACCUUAAUAUUGAUCUAUAAUCUACCACUGAUAAUUUGAAACCUUUCACGUAAUACAUUAUCACUGGGGCUCACGUCUCAUCGAGGAACAUCUGAAAUGAUUUGCCUGAUCCACCUAGGGACGAUACUAUAUUCAGUAAUCAUAUUUCAUAGCAUCCCAACAUGAUCCAUCUUAUGGGGGUAUUCUAAUCCUGUACAAUUCAUGAAAUCUCUUUGGUUUUGAAUCAUUACCCAAUCAAAGGCCUAAAUUUCAUCCUCUUAUCUAUCACAAUUACACCCUUAUUCUACUACCAGGGCAGCAUUUCAUCUCUUCUAAAUGCUCCUAGUCUUAGACUCCUCUGAGUUCAUUUAGGCUAUACUAAGCUUUCUAUAAGUUACGGAAACCAUCAGCUCUCUUGUUUUGAUGGGCUUAAUCCCGAAACCUUACCUAUUAUCAUCACCUUCUCACUCACAUUUACCAUACUUACCUUUAAAUCUCGCAUCGUAUCUUCUACCGCUUUCAUAACCUCCCUUCCACAUUGGUGGAAUUCACAUCCACACCUUAAAGCUCUACUACAAAACUUGCAUCCCUGGUGCAUACAUAAUCUGGUGGGAGCUUCAUAUUGACAUCUUAUGAGGCUAGUACUAUUCUAACUGGCUUUAUUGUAGAGCUGUUAUAGAAUAUGACCAUUGUACUAUCUCUCUUGUACUUCUGCUAUUAAAAGUGAUUCUAUAAUGGUUUGAGUCACGAUUUCUAUAAUCAUCUAGGUCUAACAAUCGGACUCCUGAUAUAACUCUCGAGCUUCCUCUUCCCCCUCAGCCUUUAUGUAGGCUUAAGCUUUCUUCCAAGCUUAGGCCUAGUGUAUUAGCUAUUACAUUAGCCUUUCGUGGACUCUAUGUAGCAUCAAUGAUAUAAUCUUCUGACAAAUCAAGCCUUUGUCUGUGAUGUGGACUUAAUUAUUUCUUUUAACUUAUACUGGAGUCUCCUAUAGAUUUAUGAAUGUCAACAUAUAUGCCGCAUGGAUAACACUCUAAAAUCUUAAGUGUGUUCACAAUGUAACUAACUCUGGGUCAUUGAUCGAAUAAUUCCUUUCAUGCCUUCUUGGCUUUCUUUAAAAGUAAACAAUAACUUUUCCUAGUCGUUCUGCCACUUGUUACAUGAAUACUUGGCUUAUCUUAGUGCCCACAAAUACUGGAAUUUUGUGCAACUCAUAUGAUCUCGAAUAUCACUUUUGAUUCUUACUUCCCGUUUAUUAGCCACGAUAGGUGCCACUUUCUUAUGGAGUGCAAGCAAUGUUGUAGUGAGACUGUUAUUACAAGAUCAUUUCUUCUUCAGGUCGCUAUGCUUAGGUUGAAGCCAUCUUUCUUAUUUCCUCAGCUAGUCUUUCGUUAUAGUACUUAGGGGAGACCCUCUGACUCUUGUAAAUCUGCAAGCUUAUUACAUCGUAUAACCGACAGAAGUUUUGGUGUUCUUACUCACCUAUAAUUAUCCUUAAUUGCUUACCUCCGCGCCCUUGUGCUCAUAGGGUUGCUUUUGAAUUGACAUUUUGAUUGUCUUCCCAAUGGCACUCUCUUUUAUUUUCGUAACACUUAUACGGCACCUUUAACUACCCUAACUCCUAUCUAAAUACUUCUCAAGGAUUACGAUGUCAAUCUGCGAGACUGAAUUCCCUAUGUUGGGAUUUACUACAUUUAUCUUACAUCAUAUGUUGAUUUAACUAUAACGUCUCAUCUGGCCAUAACUNNNNNNNNNNNNNNNNNNNNNNNNNAUUAUUUCCUUUAUCUUAACUUACCUCUCGCACUGGCUCGUUAUGUAUCAAGUGUUCAUUCACACUUAUUUAUCAAUAACAUCCUGGGCGGGAAUCCUUACUGUCUUUCCCCGUGUCGUGCUUGCAUAAUGUUCUGGAGUCGUGACAUAUCUAUAGGAUCUGAAUAAAUACAAUCUCAUUCCUUUUGCCUUUUUACUGCAUUCUUCCUUUACCAUCUUAUAUUUACUUGAAUCACUUAACUCCGACUUAAUACCAUAUCAUACCAUCUUCCCCCUUUUCGAUAACCCUUAUUUGCCUUGCGGUAACCCUUUUGUGCUAGGGAUAACUGAAUUUUUUACGUACGAGGGGGACACCUAGUGUAACUGGCACAUUCAUUCCCUUAAGCUUAAUUAUGCUCACCGUGCUUGCUUUAGGGAAGCGUCUUCUUGAAUGACCUUUAAAGGUUAUUCUUCUUUUGUCCAUUCUAUUAUUGCUGGAACGCGGCCUCUGAAAUUCUCACGAUGUCGAAUAUUAUCAAAUCUUCCGAUCCCUAAUUCAUGUUCAGUCUAUCUUGUUCACUAGUCCACACUGAUUUCUAUUACUCGGGAGGGGUCUAACUUAGCUUUCUAGAAAUCACGUUGGAUUCACCAACGCAUUUCUAGAAAUGAGGAUAUGACUUUAUGGCUUAUACUCUUUUAUAGUCUUAAGGCUUGUCUCCUCUUGUCUUUUCCUUCGCUUGAUUAUAGACUUUGUUAUCUUAUCAUAUUUUAGUUUACCGUUAUUACCCGGUUAUCACAUCUUACUCAUAAUGCUUCAUUUAAUCUUUUUUUAUUCUCCCACUAAUGUUUCUGUCUAUUACCUUGUUCUGAAAACCUCAACAAACAUUCUUUCACUUUUAGAUACCCUUGCUUCAUCCACUGGCUCUUUGAGUCACCUUACAUUCUCUCAUUACUAGGGAUGGGAGCCAUACUAAGGUAAAUAUUUAUCCCUUCAAGGAUUCAAGGGCCUACCUUCUGAAUUUUCUGAACAUUCUAGUUUUCAUAUCUAAAUGUGCUAUUCUAGAAUGCACCAUCUAGGUGUCUUACAAGGAGAACUAUUACCAUGUUUGUAAUAUCCUUCGGAAAUAUCAGCUAACACUAACAAUUCAUCCACCAUUUUGGAUUAAUCUAACCCCAGAUGGAUCCUGAUAUACCAUCCUUCUCUUAAAUUAUAUAUGUUAGCUCCCAUAGGGCAUAACCGAGAUGGAUGUGGCCAAUUUUACAUGCCUCUAUUACUGUUGAAGCUAACUCAGAAUGCUUAUAUUUCUCUACCUGAAUUGUAAAUACUGAUAAUAUUCAUUAACUGGGUACCUCGUACCCUCCUUCACCUUGCUUAUGCUACCUAUUGAAACUUAUACUUUUACCUUCGAUACUCCCAUGCCCUGUUAUUCGCGGGGUAUGUUAGAUUUCACAUCUUAGGGUCUUAAGCAGGAAAUUCGCACAUCUGGUACGCACGAUCUGAUAGGGCCUCAAACUGGGCCACAUUGUAAAGAAUUCUCUCUCUACUAGUGCCCUUACCUGCUACUGUAUUAGCCCUCUAGCUAGAUGUAAUUUUACUAAUUACAAGCAUCUCUAUAUCAUUAGCAAAUAUAAGUCCUGGCUCUAACUCAUAUGACUCCGCUCUAUAACACAAUUUAGAUUUGAAAGAAAGGUAACAGACUCCUAAAUGCCUUGUAGCUUCAUGUUUAUAUAUUGUGGUGCACAACACAUCUAUAAACAAGGCUCUACUAGACACAGCUUGUACACUCCCUAAGAUAUAACUGCUCUAAUACCAAGUUUGUCAUGCCCCAAACCUGGGGAGGCGUGGCAGGCACCCGGUGCCAUACUCGGCCCAAGCAUACCACUCUAUAACUGUGAACUCUGAAGGGGCAGCCCUCAACUUAGGCCGACGAGGCCUACCUGCAAGCUGAAAAUACCAAUCAAGGCCGACGAGGCCACCAUGAAUGUCUACAAUUAGCAAUACCAAACUGACAUCUACACAGGGUUGGAAAGGCCACAAUACUGAUAUACAAAAUAUAUAGGACUUGUCUACAAGCCUCUAAAGUUAACUGAAUUGUAUCAUGCUCGGACAGAGCCUCGACUUCCCCAUCAAACCUGUAUAUACAAUAUGGACUCCAAGAUCUAGACAUGGUAACUCCGAGGAAAUGGAGCUUACCAACCAAGUUGAUGUUUGACUCUGUCUACUGGAAAAGACUAUCCAGCUGUCUAUCAGGACCUGAGGAAUGAAAUGCAGUGUCCCCGGCAAACGGGACGUCAGUACGAAAUAAUGUACCGAGUAUGUAAGGCAAUAGAAUUACUAAAAACUGAGACUGAACUGAUAAUAUCAUAAUUGAAAGUGCCACACCUCCUUUUUCGGGGGAUUGUGGAAAGAAAGGAGUUUUUUCAAUUUAAGUGACAUUAUUUGAAAAGGGAUUAAUUUAUUUUAUUUUAAAGAGUCGCCACUUGGAAUAAAUAUUUACGGUGUCCCAUGUCAUCAUUUAUUUUAAAAUCCCAAUUCAAGAAAAUUGACUUUGUUUAAGUCUGCAAAACACAGAAGACUAGGGAAGGAAUUAUGUUAACCCGGGAGAAGGUGUGAGGCACUCCCGAGUUAUGUGGUUCUAGCACGGUCACUUUAGCAAUUAUACCUGGCUUAACUAAUUCUGUAUAUUUUAUAAUCUUAGGAAAAUUUAUGCACUUUUGCCUUAAAUCGCUUUUAAUUGCUUGAUUCUUUGUAAUUAUGGAAUUAUCUUGAAACGAAUCACGCGUACGUGUAUUCGUUUUAUUUGGUGUGUCAAAAAUCAUGUCACGCAUACGUGUACAUAAUUAAUAACACUUUAUUAUUUUUAAGAUUGUUUUGCCAAAGUCGCACGAACGCAUACUUUGCCUUUAAUUUGGGAAAUCAUAAUUAUGUCAUGCGAACGUGUACAUAAUUAAUAACACUUUAUUAUUUUUAAGAUUAUUUUGUCAAAGUCGCGUGAACGCAUACUUUGCCUUUAAUUUGGGAAAUCAUAAUUAUGUCAUGCGAACGUGUACAUAAUCACGACAAUUGAUUGGUUAACACGCGCCUACAGUGUACUAGAGAUUUAUGAGUUAUUUCUCCUAAACUAAUUUGAGAUUAUUGUGAAGGCCAUGAUUUAUGGAUAUAUGAUUAUUUGUGGAAGAAAGCAUGGCUUAGCUAUUAUUAAUAAAUCACUAAUUAUAAUUUAGCAUUCUAUCUUUUGAGAUUAACGAUAAUAUUAAUGAAAUGGAGAGGAUUAACUAUUGGAAUAAAUAAAGCAGCACAGACCAGCCUAAUAACUGAAGCUCAAAAUUUAUUAUAGGGUCCAAAUCUUCCCAAUUAGAAGUCGAAGUUCCGAUACUAUGUUUCAAAACCAACCAGUGGCCUAACUCUAGCCCAUUCCCAUGUAGCCCAUUAUAUGUCAAAUAGUCAGCUUCUGUAUGGCAUACUUAAAUGAAAUUGGUAAGAUAACUUGACAACUAAAUCAACCAAAAAAGUUAUCAAGAUAAAAUAAUCAUAUCCAAAGGCUAGGUCCAUUUAAACAUGUAGAGUAAAUCUAAAAUUACUGUGACCUUUCAAAUGCUAAGACCGAAUUACUCAAUUCACUCUAUGACCCCUUAAUAAUUCAUCUAAAAGUUACUAACUAAAGAAAACGAAGGAAGUAUUCAAUUUAAACAAACCAACUAAAACAAACAUAAUAUUGCAUUUGGAAAUUAGACAAAGAAGGGACCUUUAUUGCUGACUAUUCAACUGCUAAGAUUUAUUCGGAUCAACAAGGAUCCCAGACCGCGUUACAACUGGACGUUUGAGCGGAACCUCGUCGGCGACCUCGCUUCACUCAAAGGGUGUUUCUGGGUUAUUUUUGCUGCUGUUUUGCUGGGUUUGAGUGGCUUUUUGGAGCUCUAGUGACUGAUUUUUAAGGUGAAAGGGAGGGCUGGUUUUUAAUGGUGAGAUGAUGAUGAAAGAGAAAAGCUGAAACGGUGGAGCUAACGGCGAAAUGGAGAAGAUGAUGGAGCUACCACAGUGUAUGGCAUUUACUGGUUUUCUAUGGUUAGGGCAUGGUGUUUAUUGAUGUUACAGGAGAGGCUUGAUGAAGAAGAAUGAAGAAAAAAAUGCUCAGCUAUGGUGGAAAGCUCUUUGGUGCUCUAUAUACGUUUGUAGAUUUUUCUUUCCGAUCCUCUCUUUUCCUUUGCUCUCAAUCUCGUAUUUUUCCCCCCUCUAAUCUAAAGUUUAUGCCAAUUAUCUAGAGAAUGUGUAUGAGUGUGUGUUGAUGGAGAAGAAGAGUGGGAACAUGGGGGAAUCGUGAGGUGUGUGCUGUGAGAAGUUUUGAGGGAGAGGGGACGUGAAAAGUGGGGUGAGAGACGUAAGGGGGAUGGGAAUUGGAA